CAGUCGCCACGGUAAAACGAAGGGGGCUAGCGUUGUUCGGAAUUACUGGGCGUAAAGCGCGUGUAGGCGGGUCUUUAAGUCAGAGGUGAAAUGCCAAGGCUCAACCUUGGAACUGCCUUUGAUACUGGAGAUCUUGAGUCCGGGAGAGGUGAGUGGAAUUGCGAGUGUAGAGGUGAAAUUCGUAGAUAUUCGCAAGAACACCAGUGGCGAAGGCGGCUCACUGGCCCGGAACUGACGCUGAGACGCGAAAGCGUGGGGAGCAAACAGGAUUAGAUACCCCUGUAGUCCCUGUCUCUUAUAC
rnacentral:rRNA from 1 species